GUGAUCUGUGACUUCUCUAGCAUGGGGACUCCAUCCACAAGUGCAGCUUGAACCCCCUCUAUGUUCUUUUCUUUCUGAGAUACUUGUCACUCUAUCUCUGCAUUUUUGUUGUCCAUCCUUUAUUUGCAAAAAGGCCCUAUGACAUCACAAAUUGAGGUCUUGAGUUUCAUGGGUGUUGCGUAAAGCCAUCUGCUUCACUCUCUCUUCCAUAAUCAUCAACAUCCAGUGAAAAAUAAGGUUAAGAUGACAGGCCCAGGAACUGUGGAUGACCUUGGUGUCUUGGAUUCUAACCAAGAUCUAAGCCCUCCAAAGCUUGAACCGCCUUUUUGACUGUUGGGAAAGUAUUCUCCUCUGCCCCUUGCACCAGGAGUCAAUCCUAUUACCUUCUCCUAAGGCCAAAGUGGAGCCCAGAACCAAUAGAAGGAGCUAUGGUGGCAAUGACAAUGAGAGCAGUGUUGCUGAGCCAGUGAAUUCUGCCCUGCAGAAGAAGCAGCCUUCUGUUUGGGGGAAAUGCACUACUGACUCAAAAACAUGGAAACAAUUCUUUCUUGUUUGUGAGAAUCAGUUCUAGAAGAGAAUUUUGCUUUACUACCCUCAAAAGACAGAUGAAUUUGUCAAUGAAUCAAAUCAAGAAAUUAUCACCAACCAUGCAUGUUGGGAGGAUGGACAGGUAACAGCAAAUGCCUAAUUGAAAUAUCCUCUUCUUGCUCUACCGUUACUCCUUUCUGGGAGUUACCCAAUUUCCAAACUCCUCAUCUAUUGUCUCCUUUUGUUGAAAUGAUCUAUAAUAAACUCAG